AGGAUCUGUUCUAUAGGCUCGUACAUCUGUGUCCUUUAGCACAAAGGAGACAGGAACCUAAGUCUGGUGGAUGAAUCAUGACCGUGGAAUCAGAGCGUGAUUAACGGCUGGAUCAUUUCUUCGGAAUUGCUCCGGGCUAUAGAGGAUCGUUCUCAGUUGGAAUUUCCUGACUGGGGUGGUACCACGGUUGUCUGACAGACUAGAAAAAAAGG
rnacentral:snoRNA from 1 species